GCGGGGCCGGGCACUUCCGUCCGGCGCGCGGCGGCCUCCUCCCGCUCGGAAGGUCCCAGGUGUGACACCUUCAGCAGGUCUCAGGGAAGAUGGCAGCCCUAGGGGACAUUCAGGAGUCCCCUUCUGUCCCGUCCCCUGUCAGUUUCUCAUCACCGGGGACACCUGGAACCCAGCACCACGAGCCUCAGCUUCACCUCCAUGGGCAUCAACAUGCCAGGAAAGCACCCACCUCCCGCCUGUCCCCAGCCGUGCACAGCCACCUCGCCUCCACCUGGAAGGCCAGCCCCAGCAGUGCUGCCAGGUCCCCUCCAGUGGUGUCCCAGCGCAGGGCAAAGGUGGCAAGGCUGUCUCAGGUGAUGUCCUCACCGCCCCCUCUGUAGGAGCACGGCGCUGGAGCCUGCCCUGCAUUUGGCCAUCUGUGGAACAAGCCAGCUCCCCUGGCUGCCAGGGGAUGGUGACAUGGUGCCCCCAGGCCUGUCUCCACAAUGGGGAGGGUAUCCGAAAGACCCAAAGAUGGAUUGGGACCCCCCACAUCCUGCUUUGGGGCAGCCGAGCAGUUCUGGACCCUCGGCUCUCGAGGAAGGGA
rnacentral:sRNA from 1 species